rnacentral:lncRNA from 1 species
CUGCCUCAAAUGUGACGUUGUUCCCAAGCUCUUACGUCGGCCCAAAUCCUCCGCCUCCGUCGACGACUAUGAUGACGACGACGACGAAAUAGACGGCGGCAGCAGCAGUAAUGGAAGAGAAGCAUGCUUCACACCAUCAUGCGCCACGCCAAUUCGGCCUGUCCUGUCCUGUUUCACAUCGAGAAAGAAACAGCGUUCAGUCAGGACAAUCGUCGAACACGUGGAGUGCACUCAAAACAACACCCAUCGUGGCCAUCACAAUCACCGUCGUCUCAACCUGGAAGCGGAAUUAAUCGCCGAACCAAUCAAUGCCAGGUCGAAAUCGUUUGUUGGAACGCACGAGUACUUAGCUCCGGAAGUGAUCUCCG